rnacentral:misc_RNA from 1 species
GAUGAAGAACGCAGCGAAACGCGAUACGUAAUGUGAAUUGCAGAAUUUAGUGAAUCAUCGAAUCUUUGAACGCACAUUGCGCCCUUUGGUAUUCCUUAGGGCAUGCCUGUUCGAGCGUCAUCUACACCCUCAAGCACAGCUUGGUGAUGGGCGCCUGUCCCGCCCCCCACGGGGGCGCGGACUCGCCUCAAAUGCAUUGGCGGCCGGCGACCUGGCUUCGAGCGCAGCAGAAACGCGUACUCGGGGACCGGGCGCCCGCUCCCAGAAGCCAACCCACCCAGUUUGACCUCGGAUCAGGUAGGGAUACCCGCUGAACUUAAGCAUAUCAAUAAGCGGAGGA